rnacentral:miRNA from 1 species
CCAGAUUAUUUGUUGCUGUGCA